rnacentral:rRNA from 1 species
GGGACACGUGGUAUCCUGUCUGAAUAUGGGGGGACCAUCCUCCAAGGCUAAAUACUCCUGACUGACCGAUAGUGAACCAGUACCGUGAGGGAAAGGCGAAAAGAACCCCGGCGAGGGGAGUGAAAAAGAACCUGAAACCGUGUACGUACAAGCAGUGGGAGCCUCUUAAUGGGGUGACUGCGUACCUUUUGUAUAAUGGGUCAGCGACUUAUAUUCUGUAGCAAGGUUAACCGAAUAGGGGAGCCGAAGGGAAACCGAGUCUUAACUGGGCGUUAAGUUGCAGGGUAUAGACCCGAAACCCGGUGAUCUAGCCAUGGGCAGGUUGAAGGUUGGGUAACACUAACUGGAGGACCGAACCGACUAAUGUUGAAAAAUUAGCGGAUGACUUGUGGCUGGGGGUGAAAGGCCAAUCAAACCGGGAGAUAGCUGGUUCUCCCCGAAAGCUAUUUAGGUAGCGCCUCGUGAAUUCAUCUCCGGGGGUAGAGCACUGUUUCGGCAAGGGGGUCAUCCCGACUUACCAACCCGAUGCAAACUGCGAAUACCGGAGAAUGUUAUCACGGGAGACACACGGCGGGUGCUAACGUCCGUCGUGAAGAGGGAAACAACCCAGACCGCCA